UACAGAGGGGGCCAGCGUUGUUCGGAAUUACUGGGCGUAAAGGGCGCGUAGGCGGCCGCCUAAGUCAGACGUGAAAUCCCUCGGCUCAACCGGGGAACUGCGUCUGAUACUGGGUGGCUUGAAUCCGGGAGAGGGAUGCGGAAUUCCAGGUGUAGCGGUGAAAUGCGUAGAUAUCUGGAGGAACACCGGUGGCGAAGGCGGCAUCCUGGACCGGCAUUGACGCUGAGGCGCGAAAGCCAGGGGAGCAAACGGG
rnacentral:rRNA from 1 species